GAGGGUGUGGCUCAAGGGGUAGAGCGCGUGCUUAGCAUGCACAGGGUCCUGGGUUCAAUCCCUAGUACCGCCU
rnacentral:tRNA from 1 species